AAUGAACGCUGGCGGCGUGCGUAACACAUGCAAGUCGAACGUGAAAGUCUGCUUCGGCAGGCGAGUAAAGUGGCAAACGGGUGAGUAACACGUGGGUAAUCUGCCCUCCUGUGGGGAAUAACCUUGCGAAAGCGGGGCUAAUACCGCAUGAAAAGUCGCUAUUAAUUAGAUGACUUUAAAGCCUUCGGGCGCAGGAGGAGGAGCCCGCGGCCCAUUAGCUUGUUGGUGGGGUAACGGCCUACCAAGGCGAUGAUGGGUAGCCGGCCUGAGAGGGUGUCCGGCCACCCUGGGACUGAGACACGGCCCAGGCUCCUACGGGAGGCAGCAGUGGGGAAUCUUGCGCAAUGGGCGAAAGCCUAACGCAGCGACGCCGCGUGGGUGAUGAAGUUUUUCGAAACGUAAAACCCUGUCGGGAGGGACGAAGCUCUGACGGUACCUCCAAAGGAAGCCCCGGCUAACUCCGUGCCAGCCGCCGCCGUAACAC
rnacentral:rRNA from 1 species